AAUAUUAUUUGUGAAAAAGAUUUUUUUAAAGAAUAAAUCAACAUACAAACUAGAAUAUUUAUAUUUCAAGGGCGAGACCUAUUCAAUAUUGAUAGUGAUUCAAAGAUUUAAUCUCAAUAAAUAACUUAUCUAUUUGACCUCAAAAUAAGAGAAUGUCUAGUACUGUGGGAGAAAGAUGAGGACUUGGAAAAGUAUGAUAAAAUUUAUGUUGGUGAUGAUGGAGUUGAUUAUCUUCGUAAUACUUAAAGUGCAUGCUAAUGACUCCACCAUUAACUCGUCCGUGCUCGCUCCACCACCAUCCAGCUUUCAUCCCUUCCAACUUGAUAACGAAAACAAGACUUAUAUCCAUCAAUGCCUUGAAAGCACAAUUGAAGAAUGUGGAAAAGGACAACAUAUGAUGAUGUGCAUUGGUUAUUUACUUUUUGAAUGCCUUUUUAAGGAUCCAAAGCAUCUGAAAGAUAAUCCCUUCAAACUUGAUGCUAUUGUGGGGGGGUGCUUACGUGAUUGUCACUCGGAAUUUGAAGGUAGUUACCUCAGGUAUGCAGGAUGUUUAGCAAACUGCUAUGAAGAGCAUUUCAAGAAUUGAUGAGCUUCUUGACAAAAAGGUCUUGAGCAAGGACUAGGUGGCUGGGAUGUGGGGAUAGGAUAUCCAUAGGGAACAUAUCACGAACGAUUUUUCUUUUAAUCAAACAAGUGCAGUGGCACAUGAACAUUUUCAAUUAUGAACUUGUUACUAUCGAAAUAUCAUUGUAGAAGUUUUGAUCAAACACUUCCGCAAUUAGAUAAAUUUUUAAUUACAGUCA